UACGUAGGGUGCGAGCGUUAAUCGGAAUUACUGGGCGUAAAGCGUGCGCAGGCGGCUGUGCAAGACAGGUGUGAAAUCCCCGGGCUUAACCUGGGAACUGCAUUUGUGACUGCAUCGCUGGAGUGCGGCAGAGGGGGAUGGAAUUCCGCGUGUAGCAGUGAAAUGCGUAGAUAUGCGGAGGAACACCGAUGGCGAAGGCAAUCCCCUGGGCCUGCACUGACGCUCAUGCACGAAAGCGUGGGGAG
rnacentral:rRNA from 1 species